rnacentral:sRNA from 1 species
AUUCUGCCCAUGCGGGGAAGGAUGAGAAGCUUCGACCAAGGUUCGACUCGAGCGCCAGCGAGAGAGCGUGGCCGCAGGCAACGACCCGAAGGGCGAAGCGCGCAGCGCUGAGUANNAUCCUUCCCCCACCACCA